GUACACACCGCCGUCGCUACUACCGAUGGAAUGGCUUAGUGAGGCCUCAGAUUGACUUUUACGGCUGGCAACAGCUGUGUUAGUUGAAAAGUUGGUCAAACUUGAUCAUCUAGAGGAAUAAAAGUCGUAACAAGGUAACCGUAGGUGAACCUGCAGAAGGAU
rnacentral:rRNA from 1 species